UUUCCUACGGGAGGCAGCAGCAGGGAAUCUUGCGCAAUGGGCGAAAGCCUGACGCAGCAACGCCGCGUGGGGGAUGAAGGCCUUCGGGUUGUAAACCCCUUUCAGGAGGGAAGAAAUUGACGGUACCUCCGAAGAAGGACCGGCCAACUACGUGCCAGCAGCCGCGGUAAUACGUAGGGUCCGAGCGUUAUCGGAAUCAUUGGGCGUAAAGAGCUCGUAGGCGGUUCAGCAAGUCGGCUGUGAAAGUCCGAGGCUCAACCUCGGAAUUGCAGUCGAUACUGCUGUGACUCGAGUCCGGUAGAGGAGAAUGGAAUUCCCGGUGUAGCGGUGAAAUGCGCAGAUAUCGGGAGGAACACCAGUAGCGAAGGCGGUUCUCUGGGCCGGCACUGACGCUGAGGAGCGAAAGCGUGGGGAGCAAACAGGAUUAGAUACCCUGGUAGUCCACGCCGUAAACGUUGGAUACUAGGUGUGGCGGUCUUACCAACGACUGCCGUGCCGAAGCUAACGCAUUAAGUAUCCCGCCUGGGGAGUACGGCCGCAAGGCUAAAACUCAAAGGAAUUGACGGGUCCCCGCACAAGCGGCGGAGCUGCGGCUUAUUCGAUCCCAAGAACCUACCUGGGUUUGACAUCACGGGAAAAGCUGUAGAAAUACAGUGUCCAUUAGGGCCCGUGACAGGUGGUGCAUGGCUGUCGUCAGCUCGUGUCGUGAGAUGUUGGGUUAAGUCCCGCAACGAGCGCAACCCUUGUCCUAUGUUGCCAGCGGUUCGGCCGGGGACUCAUAGGAGACUGCCGGGGAUAACUCGGAGGAAGGUGAGGACGACGUCAAGUCAUCAUGCCCCUUAUAUCCAGGGCUGCACGCAUGCUACAAUGGCCGGUACAACGGGCAGCGACCCCGCGAGGGUGAGCGAAUCCUAUAAAGCCGGUCCUAGUUCGGAUUGAAGUCUGCAACCCGACUUCAUGAAGCCGGAGUCGCUAGUAAUCGCGGAUCAGCAAUGCCGCGGUGAAUACGUUCUCGGGCCUUGUAC
rnacentral:rRNA from 1 species